CGACCUCUAAAUGACCAAGUUUGUCUAGAUUCUCCGCGCCAUGGGAAAGUUGCCCCUCCCGCGGCGCCAAUCCUGAAGCCUCACUAAGCCAUUCAAUCGGUAGUAGCGACGGGCGGUGUGUACAAAGGGCAGGGACGUAAUCAACGCAAGCUGAUGACUUGCGCUUACUAGGAAUUCCUCGUUGAAGAGCAAAAAUUACAAUGCUCUAUCCCCAGCACGACGGAGUUUCACGAGAUUACCCGGGCCUCUCGACCAAGGUUGUACUUGCUGGCUCCGUCAGUGUAGCGCGCGUGCGGCCCAGAACGUCUAAGGGCAUCACAGACCUGUUGUUGCCUCAAACUUCCAUGGGUUUGAUACCCAUAGUCCCUCUAAGAAGAGCCCACAAGCAGAUGCUCGCAGCCCUAUUUAGCAGGUUAAGGUCUCGUCCGUUAUCGCAAUUAAGCAGACAAAUCACUCCAAGGACUAAAAACGGCCAUGCACCACCACCCGUAAGAUCAAGAGAAGUCUCUAACUUGUCAAUCCUUAUUACGUCUGGACCUGGUGAGUUUCCCCGUGUUGAGUCAAAUUAAGCCGCAGGCUCCACUCCUGGUGGUGCCCUUCCGUCAAUUCCUUUAAGUUUCAGCCUUGCGACCAUACUCCCCCCAGAACCCAAAGACUUUGAUUUCUCCUAAGGUGCCGAGUGGGCCACAAAGCGCCACCCGAUCCCUAGUCGGCAUAGUUUAUGGUUAAGACUACGACGGUAUCUGAUCAUCUUCGAUCCCCUAACUUUCGUUCUUGAUUAAUGAAAACGUCCUUGGCAAAUGCUUUCGCAGUAGUUAGUCUUCAGUUAAUCCAAGAAUUUCACCUCUGACAACUGAAUACUGAUGCCCCCGACCGUCCCUAUUAAUCAUUACGAUGGUCCUAGAAACCAACAAAAUAGAACCAUACGUCCUAUUCUAUUAUUCCAUGCUAAUAUAUCCGAGCAAAGGCCUGCUUUGAACACUCUAAUUUCCUCAAAGUCAUCGUCCUGGUUCGCCACAAGGGCUAGCCAGAUGAAAGGACCCGGCCGCAGCAGUACUCACCAUAGGUAGAUCGACCGACCAGGACCAACCUUCACGUACGAAGCUUUUUAACUGCAACAUCUUUAAUAGACGCUAUGCGAGCUG
rnacentral:rRNA from 1 species